rnacentral:misc_RNA from 1 species
GUGCUGGUGCACCGAACUGCUUUCCUCACGUUCCAUCAGUCAUUGCUCCACGAGAUAACGCUGGAUGCAAAGCGGCGGGUUCCUGUGUUGCGUACCUAUCGGGAUGGAAAUCGGUUGAUUUCGUUGUGCCUUUCGUCCUCGCUUCCUCUGGGAAGUUCGGAUGGACUAGACGGAAGGGCUCGUGUUCCACGGACGUCUCGCACGAUCGUUCCGAUGGACCACGAGCAUCUUCUCGUUCUCUCGGAUGCGGAAAGUCCCUCAUGGGCGUGGGUCAUUGGCCCUCGGUCCCGAAUCUGUAAGCGAAGCUAACGGGCAUAGCUUUAACAUCGGAAUGACGCUCUCGCCUCGUCUUCGACCACGCGAAGCUAACGGGCAUAGCUCGCGAUGGCUCGUGCGGGGCGGA